UACGUAGGGGGCAAGCGUUGUCCGGAAUCAUUGGGCGUAAAGAGCGCGUAGGCGGCCCUGUAAGUCCGCUGUGAAAGUCAAGGGCUCAACCCUUGGAUGCCGGUGGAUACUGCAGGGCUAGAGUCCGGAAGAGGCGAGUGGAAUUCCUGGUGUAGCGGUGAAAUGCGCAGAUAUCAGGAGGACCACCGCUGGCGAACGCAGCUCGCUGGGACGGUACUGACGCUGAGGCGCGAAAGAGUGGGGAGCAAACAGG
rnacentral:rRNA from 1 species